UACGUAGGGUGCGAGCGUUAAUCGGAAUUACUGGGCGUAAAGCGUGCGCAGGCGGUUUCUGAAGUCCGUUGUGAAAGCCCCGGGCUUAACCUGGGAAUGGCAGUGGAAACUAGGAGACUUGAAUCUGGCAGAGGGGGUGGAAUGCCACGUGUAGCAGUGAAAUGCGUAGAGAUGUGGCGGAACACCGAUGGCGAAGGCAGCCCCUGGGUCAAGAUUGACGGCUCAGGCACGAAAGCGUGGGGAGCAAACAGG
rnacentral:rRNA from 1 species